rnacentral:tRNA from 1 species
AAGUUUAACGCAAAAACUUUCAGCAUUGGUCUUGUAAACCAAAAAAAAAUUAAACUUU